rnacentral:rRNA from 1 species
GUGUCAGCCGCCGCGGUAAUACGGAGGAUCCAAGCGUUAUCCGGAUUCAUUGGGUUUAAAGGGUGCGUAGGUGGAAUGGUAAGUCAGUGGUGAAAUCCUGCGGCUUAACUGCAGAACUGCCAUUGAUACUGCCAAUCUUGAGUACAUAUGAAGUGGGCGGAAUGUGUCAUGUAGCGGUGAAAUGCUUAGAUAUGACACAGAACACCGAUUGCGAAGGCAGCUCACUAAACUGUAACUGACACUGAGGCACGAAAGCGUGGGGAUCAAACAGGAUUAGAUACCCUGGUAGUCCACGCCGUAAACGUUGAUUACUAGAUGUGUGCGAUACACUGCACGCGUCUUAGCGAAAGUGAUAAGUAAUCCACCUGGGGAGUACGGUCGCAAGACUGAA